rnacentral:lncRNA from 1 species
GUCAGUCACAUAACUUUUAUUACAGCACAUCGUUACGUUUCUAUUUCAUUAUUAGUUAUUGUUCAUAUCUUACUCUGCCUAACUUAUAAACUUUAACAUGCAUAUGUAUGGGAAAAAAAACAUAGUAUAUAUAAGGUUUGGUACUAUCUGCAGUUUCAGGCAUCCACUAAGGAUAUCAGAACAUAUUCUCUGCAUAUUUAGGAGCAAUUACCGUAUGAUAUUUUUUUCUUUCUGUGUAAACACAUGGUGUCAUAGUCCAUUUUGUGCUACUGUAACAGAAUAUCACAGACUAAUAACAAAUAACAGAAAUUUAUUGGCUUAUAGUUCUGUAGGCUGAGAAGUCCAAAAUCAAGAUGCUGGCAUCUGGGAAGGGCUUUUUUGUUGCAUCAUCACACAGAGGAAGGUGGAAGGGUGACAGAGAGAGCAAGAAGGGGCUGAACUUACCCUUUUAUAACAUCACCAAUCCCACCCUAAUCACCUCUUAAAUAUUCCACCUAUUAAUACUGUUAUCAUGGCAAUUACAUUUCAACAUGAGUUUUGCAGGGGAGAAACAUUCAAAUCAUAGCACAUGGGUUAGGUGAGAAAUGAAGAGUGAGGUAUACAAGAGCAUCCAGAACCAUACUAUAUACAUUCCAGCUGUUUUGGUGUAGAAGCAGCACAAAUGUAGAAGCUGCAUUGUUUCUUGAUAAAAGGGUCCUGGAAAGAUGACCAGCUAUACAGUUUCCACUAGAGGAAAUGCAGAUUGGCUUGUACGACUUUAGAGUAUGAAAUAUAAAGAUCUGGAGUCUGUUAAUAUUAAUCUAAGUUUCUUUAAUAUUCUUGAUCUGGGUAAACAUUUUCAUAAAUUAAUUUUGUGAAUUUUGAGUUUAAAAUAUGUCCUGCUCUAAUUUCACCAUGUGUAAAAUAAAAAGGCAAUCAUAGUAUUUUAGUCCAUAUAAAACCAUGCCUCCAUUUAUAAAAACAGACUUUUUUUGGACAGUUUAACAGUUACAGAAAAACUGAACAGGAAUUACAGAGAGUUCCCGUAUGUCCCCUCAAGCCCUCUUCCCUCCAGUUUCCACUAUUAGUAACAUCUUGCAUUAGUGUGGUACAUUUGUUAAAAUUGGUGAGCCAAUAUUGAUACAUUAUUAAGUCCAUAGUUUACAUUAGGGUUCACUCUUUGUGCAGUUUUAUUGGUUGUUAUAUUUUAUUGGUUUUGACAAAGGUAUGACAUGUAUCCACCAUUACAGUAUCAUUCAGAAUAGUUUCACUGCCUUAAAAAUCCUCUGUGCUCCACCUAUUCAUCCAACCCUUCCCAUGGACCACUGGUAACCACUACCUUUUCACUGUCUCCAUGGUUUUGCCUUUUCCAGAUUACCAUAUAGUUGGACUCAUACAAUAUGUAAUCC